AUUGAACGCUGGCGGCAGGCCUAACACAUGCAAGUCGAGCGAGCGGCGGACGGGUGAGUAAUGUAUGGGGACUGCCCGAUAGAGGGGGAUAACUACUGGAAACGGUGGCUAAUACCGCAUACUAUCGGAUAACCCAUAUGGGAUUAGCUAGUGGGUGGGGUAAAGGCUCACCUAGGCGACGAUCUCUAGCUGGUCUGAGAGGAUGAUCGGCCACACUGGAACUGAGACACGGCCCAGACUCCUACGGAGGCAGCAGUGGGGAAUAUUGCACAAUGGGCGAAGGCCGGAUACAGCAAGUCGGCGUGUAUAAAGAAGGCCUUAGGGUUGUAAAGUACUUUCAGCGGGGAGGCGUUACCCGAAGAGGAAGCAACGGCUAACUCCGUGCCAGCAGCCGCGGUAAUUC
rnacentral:rRNA from 1 species